GAUGAACGCUGGCGGCGUGCUUAACACAUGCAAGUCGAACGGUGAACGAGGGAGCUUGCUCCCUCCGGAUCAGUGGCGAACGGGUGAGUAACACGUGAGCAAUCUGCCCUGGACUCUGGGAUAAGCGUUGGAAACGACGUCUAAUACCGGAUACGAGACGCGAAGGCAUCUUCAGCGUCUGGAAAGAAUUUCGGUCCAGGAUGAGCUCGCGGCCUAUCAGGUAGUUGGUGAGGUAAUGGCUCACCAAGCCUACGACGGGUAGCCGGCCUGAGAGGGUGACCGGCCACACUGGGACUGAGACACGGCCCAGACUCCUACGGGAGGCAGCAGUGGGGAAUAUUGCACAAUGGGCGCAAGCCUGAUGCAGCAACGCCGCAUGAGGGACGACGGCCUUCGGGUUGUAAACCUCUUUUAGCAGGGAAGAAGCGAAAGUGACGGUACCUGCAGAAAAAGCACCGGCUAACUACGUGCCAGCCGCCGCUGUAACAC
rnacentral:rRNA from 1 species